rnacentral:rRNA from 1 species
GAAAGAUGAAAAGCACUUUGAAAAGAGAGUUAAAAAGCACGUGAAAUUGUUGAAAGGGAAGCGCUUGCGACCAGACUCGGCCCCGGGGUUCAGCUAGCAUUCGUGCUGGUGUACUUCCCCGGGGGCGGGCCAGCGUCGGUUUGGGCGGUCGGUCAAAGGCCCCAGGAAUGUACCGCCUCCGGGGCGACUUAUAGCCUGGGGUGCAAUGCGGCCAGCC